UAUAAAGUGGCGAACGGCUGAGUAACACGUGGGCAACCUGCCCUUUGCACUGGGAUAGCCUCGGGAAACCGAGGUUAAUACCGGAUACUCCAUAUUUGUCGCAUGGCGAAUAUGGGAAAGCUCCGGCGGCAAAGGAUGGGCCCGCGGCCUGUUAGCUAGUUGGUGGGGAAGUGGCCUACCAAGGCAAUGAUGGGUAGCCGGGUUGAGAGACCGACCGGCCAGAUUGGGACUGAGACACGGCCCAGACUCCUACGGGAGGCAGCAGCC
rnacentral:rRNA from 1 species